AGAGCGAACGCUGGCGGCAGGCCUAAUACAUGCAAGUCGAGCGGUCCCUUCGGGGGCAGCGGCGGACGGGUGAGUAACGCGUGGGAACGUGCCCUUUGGUACGGAACAACUGAGGGAAACUUCAGCUAAUACCGUAUGUGCCCUUCGGGGGAAAGAUUUAUCGCCAUUGGAGCGGCCCGCGUUGGAUUAGGGUAGUUGGUGAGGUAAAGGCUCACCAAGCCUACGAUCCAUAGCUGGUCUGAGAGGAUGAUCAGCCACACUGGGACUGAGACACGGCCCAGACUCCUACGGGAGGCAGCAGUAGGGAAUCUUGCGCAAUGGGCGAAAGCCUGACGCAGCCAUGCCGCGUGAAUGAUGAAGGUCUUAGGAUUGUAAAAUUCUUUCACCGGGGACAUAAUGACGGUACCCGAGAAGAAGCCCGGCUAACUCGUGCCAGCAGCCGC
rnacentral:rRNA from 1 species